AGAGUUUGAUCAUGGCUCAGGAUGAACGCUAGCGGCAGGCUUAACACAUGCAAGUCGAGGGGUAUAGUUCUUCGGAAUUAGAGACCGGCGCACGGGUGCGUAACGCGUAUGCAAUCUACCUUUCACAGAGGGAUAGCCCAGAGAAAUUUGGAUUAAUACCUCAUAGUAUAACGACUCGGCAUCGAGAUGUUAUUAAAGUCACAACGGUGAAAGAUGAGCAUGCGUCCCAUUAGCUAGUUGGUAUGGUAACGGCAUACCAAGGCGACGAUGGGUAGGGGUCCUGAGAGGGAGAUCCCCCACACUGGUACUGAGACACGGACCAGACUCCUACGGGAGGCAGCAGUGAGGAAUAUUGGACAAUGGGCGCAAGCCUGAUCCAGCCAUGCCGCGUGCAGGAUGACGGUCCUAUCGAUUGUAAACUGCUUUUGCACAGGAAGAAACAACUCUACGUGUAGAGUCUUGACGGUACUGUGAGAAUAAGGAUCGGCUAACUCCGUGCCAGCAGCCGCGGUAAUACGGAGGAUCCAAGCGUUAUCCGGAAUCAUUGGGUUUAAAGGGUCCGUAGGCGGUCUUAUAAGUCAGUGGUGAAAUCUCCCCGCUCAACGGGGAAACGGCCAUUGAUACUGUAGGACUUGAAUUAUUAGGAAGUAACUAGAAUAUGUAGUGUAGCGGUGAAAUGCUUAGAGAUUACAUGGAAUACCAAUUGCGAAGGCAGGUUACUACUAAUGGAUUGACGCUGAUGGACGAAAGCGUGGGUAGCGAACAGGAUUAGAUACCCUGGUAGUCCACGCCGUAAACGAUGGAUACUAGCUGUUGGAAGCAAUUUCAGUGGCUAAGCGAAAGUGAUAAGUAUCCCACCUGGGGAGUACGUUCGCAAGAAUG
rnacentral:rRNA from 1 species